UACAGAGGUCUCAAGCGUUGUUCGGAUUCAUUGGGCGUAAAGGGUGCGUAGGCGGCGCGGUAAGUCGGGUGUGAAAUCUCGGAGCUUAACUCCGAAACUGCAUUCGAUACUGCCGUGCUUGAGGACUGGAGAGGAGACUGGAAUUCCUGGUGUAGCGGUGGAAUGCGCAGACUAGUCAGGAGGAACACCGGUGGCGAAGGCGGGUCUCUGGGCAGUAACUGACGCUGGAGGAGCGAAAGCGUGGGGAGCGAACAGG
rnacentral:rRNA from 1 species